CCAUGUGGUUUCACCAUGUUGUCCAGUCUGGUCUUGAACUCCUGAGCUCAAGGGAUCCUCCCACCUCGGCCUCCCAAAGCAUUGAGAUUACAGGCCCCCACAUGCCAGACCAUCGUUGGUGGACCUCGUCACCAGCAUGAAGUGGGCUCUUGGAGUUGUCGACUGACUAGUUCACAAUUAGUGACUCAUAGCAUCUCACUCAUUUCCUUUUCAUCAGUAGGAGGCAGCAGUCUGCACUUUUGCAUCACAUUUCGAAGACAUCUGUGUGUUUGUUCUCGUGCAGAACACUUUGACUAUUGUAACCUCUAGGUCCAUGAAUGACCCUCAUCUUCAGUAAAAGUGGAUUCACGCUGGCAAAGUCUGCUUUGUUUUAUUGUGACACAUGGAACAUUAUGGAUUUUGGUGAAUAAAAACUAACUUAAAUUGAA